UUUUGGACAAUGGGGGCAACCCUGAUCCAGCAAUGCCGCGUGAGUGAAGAAGGCCUUCGGGUUGUAAAGCUCUUUUGUCAGGGAAGAAACACCGGCUCUAACACAGUCCGGGAAUGACGGUACCUGAAGAAUAAGCACCGGCUAACUACGUGCCAGCAGCCGCGGUAAUACGUAGGGUGCAAGCGUUAAUCGGAAUUACUGGGCGUAAAGCGUGCGCAGGCGGUUAUACAAGACAGGCGUGAAAUCCCCGGGCUUAACCUGGGAAUGGCGCCUGUGACUGUAUAGCUAGAGUGUGUCAGAGGGGGGUAGAAUUCCACGUGUAGCAGUGAAAUGCGUAGAUAUGUGGAGGAAUACCAAUGGCGAAGGCAGCCCCCUGGGGUAACACUGACGCUCAUGCACGAA
rnacentral:rRNA from 1 species